rnacentral:rRNA from 1 species
GAAUGCUGACAUAAGUAACGAUAAAGCGGGUGAAAAGCCCGCUCGCCGGAAGACCAAGGGUUCCUGUCCAACGUUAAUCGGGGCAGGGUGAGUCGACCCCUAAGGCGAGGCCGAAAGGCGUAGUCGAUGGGAAACAGGUUAAUAUUCCUGUACUUGGUGUUACUGCGAAGGGGGGACGGAGAAGGCUAUGUUAGCCGGGCGACGGUUGUCCCGGUUUAAGCAUGUAGGCUGGUUAUCCAGGCAAAUCCGGAUAAUCAAGGCUGAGGUGUGAUGACGAGGCACUACGGUGCUGAAGUAACAAAUGCCCUGCUUCCAGGAAAAGCCUCUAAGCAUCAGGUAACAUCAAAUCGUACCCCAAACCGACACAGGUGGUCAGGUAGAGAAUACCAAGGCGCUUGAGAGAACUCGGGUGAAGGAACUAGGCAAAAUGGUGCCGUAACUUCGGGAGAAGGCACGCUGGUGUGUAGGUGAAGCCCCUGCGGGUGGAGCUGAGACCAGUCGAAGAUACCAGCUGGCUGCAACUGUUUAUUAAAAACACAGCACUGUGCAAACACGAAAGUGGACGUAUACGGUGUGACGCCUGCCCGGUGCCGGAAGGUUAAUUGAUGGGGUUAUCCGUAAGGAGAAGCUCUUGAUCGAAGCCCCGGUAAACGGCGGCCGUAACUAUAACGGUCCUAAGGUAGCGAAAUUCCUUGUCGGGUAAGUUCCGACCUGCACGAAUGGCGUAAUGAUGGCCAGGCUGUCUCCACCCGAGACUCAGUGAAAUUGAACUCGCUGUGAAGAUGCAGUGUACCCGCGGCAAGACGGAAAGACCCCGUGAACCUUUACUAUAGCUUGACACUGAACAUUGAGCCUUGAUGUGUAGGAUAGGUGGGAGGCUUUGAAGCGUGGACGCCAGUCUGCGUGGAGCCAACCUUGAAAUACCACCCUUUAAUGUUUGAUGUUCUAACGUUGGCCCCUUAUCGGGGUUGCGGACAGUGUCUGGUGGGUAGUUUGACUGGGGCGGUCUCCUCCCAAAGCGUAACGGAGGAGCACGAAGGUUAGCUAAUCCUGGUCGGACAUCAGGAGGUUAGUGCAAUGGCAUAAGCUAGCUUGACUGCGAGCGUGACGGCGCGAGCAGGUGCGAAAGCAGGUCAUAGUGAUCCGGUGGUUCUGAAUGGAAGGGCCAUCGCUCAACGGAUAAAAGGUACUCCGGGGAUAACAGGCUGAUACCGCCCAAGAGUUCAUAUCGACGGCGGUGUUUGGCACCUCGAUGUCGGCUCAUCACAUCCUGGGGCUGAAGUAGGUCCCAAGGGUAUGGCUGUUCGCCAUUUAAAGUGGUACGCGAGCUGGGUUUAGAACGUCGUGAGACAGUUCGGUCCCUAUCUGCCGUGGGCGCUGGAGAAUUGAGGGGGGCUGCUCCUAGUACGAGAGGACCGGAGUGGACGCAUCACUGGUGUUCGGGUUGUCAUGCCAAUGGCACUGCCCGGUAGCUAAAUGCGGAAGAGAUAAGUGCUGAAAGCAUCUAAGCACGAAACUUGCCCCGAGAUGAGUUCUCCCUGAGACUUUAAGUCUCCUGAAGGAACGUUAAAGAC